rnacentral:rRNA from 1 species
UUAAGCAUAUCAAUAAGCGGAGGAAAAGAAACCAACAGGGAUUGCCUCAGUAACGGCGAGUGAAGCGGCAAUAGCUCAAAUUUGAAAGCUGCCAUCAGGCCGCAUUGUAAUUUGUAGAAGAUGCUUUGGGUGCUGGCCUAGUUUAAGUUCCUUGGAACAGGACGUCAUAGAGGGUGAGAGUCCCGUAUGUGACUAGGCUAUAUCCCGUGUAAAGCUCUUUCGACGAGUCGAGUUGUUUGGGAAUGCAGCUCAAAAUGGGUGGUAAAUUUCAUCUAAAGCUAAAUAUUGGCCAGAGACCGAUAGCGCACAAGUAGAGUGAUCGAAAGAUGAAAAGCACUUUGGAAAGAGAGUUAAACAGUACGUGAAAUUGUUGAAAGGGAAGCGCUUGCAAUCAGACUUGCGGGCUGUCGAUCAUCCGAGGUUUUCCCCGGUGCACUCGAUUGUUCUCAGGCCAGCAUCAGUUUCGGUGGUGGGAUAAAGGCUGUGGGAAUGUGGCUCUUCGGAGUGUUAUAGCCCACGGUGCAAUGCUGCCUACCGGGAUGAGGACCGCGC